GAAAGAACACAUCUAUCAAAUUGUUUUUGCAUUAAUAGGAAACAAAGAGAACUCAUCUAUGGUUAUGGAGUUGUUAACAAAAGAUUUACAAAAUGAAGGAAGCAAAUGAAACAACACAGUUUCUAAUUAGUAGAAAUAGAUCCUCUGUAGAAAGAACACACAAAGAAAGAGACAAACUUCAACCACUAAAAGUAGAAAGAAGAUUCCACAAGUGAGAGUGAGAGAAGAAACAUAGACAAAUCAACCUUUAGAGAGAGCUGAUUUAAAGAUUCAAGUCAAGAAAUUUCAGAAAUUGUUUACCUUGAGAGAGAGCAGAGCUUGCGA